rnacentral:rRNA from 1 species
CAAGCAAACUCCGUGUUGAUUAAGGCCUGUGCAAUCAAACUCCGUGCUGAUUAAGGCCCGCCUCUUUCAUACAAAAAGACUGUGGACACGAACGUACCCUCUUGGGCUACCAGUGAAAAGCCACAGCACCAUUACUCUGGUCCCCCGUUAAAACGGGAUAAAAAAAACCCGUGGUGAUCCGCGGCCGCGUGGCCGGCUUUGAAAGCCGGCCAGGUCGGUAUCGGCGAGCUACGCUCGGCGCGCCGCCAACCUAGACCUCGGUUUUUUUUAUUUUUUAGCGGGGUCGAAGAAGAAGGAGCCCGGGCACCGCGUAGAGGCCGCUCUAGGGGACGCCGAGCGUCGUGCCGCGUAGAGGCCACUCUAGGGGGGCGCCGAGCGUCGUGGCGCGUCGAGGUCGUUUCCGGGGGCGCCGUGUAGAGGCCACUCCGGGUCGAGGUCGGGGCGCCGCGUAGAGGCCGCUCCGGGUCGAGGUCGUUGCGGGGGCGCCGCGUAGAGGCCGCUCCGGGGGGCGCCGAGCGCCUUGGAGUGCAGUGGCCGGCGUCGUGGGCAACAUCUCGAGCACAACAAGGAGUAGGAAUUAAACGGUCAGCGUCGUUUUUUAAGGUGGCCGGUAUCGUUUUUAAGAACU